rnacentral:rRNA from 1 species
AUUUCCGGGGCUAAAACGUACUACCGAAGCUACGGCAUCAUUUAUGAUGGGUAGGAGAGCUUCCCAUACGGGUUGAAGCAUGACCGAAAGGACAUGUGGACUGUAUGGGAGUGAGAAUGUUGGCAUGAGUAGCGAGAUGUGGGUGAGAAUCCCACAGGCCGUAAACCCAAGGUUUCCAGGGGAAGGUUCGUCCGCCCUGGGUUAGUCAGGACCUAAGCCGAGGCCGAAAGGCGUAGGUGAUGGACAACAGGUUGAUAUUCCUGUACCACCAAUAACCGUUUGAGAAAUGGGAUGACACAGAAGGAUAAGCUAACCGCACUGUUGGUUAUGUGCGGGCAAGUAUUGAGGCAGUUCUGGUAGGCAAAUCCGCCAGAAUAAUGCUAGGGUACGAUGCGGAGCGAAAUUUAGUAGCGAAGUAGCUGAUUUCACACUGUCGAGAAAAGUCUCUAUCGAGGUUAAAGGUGCCUGUACCGCAAACCGACACAGGUGGGUGAGGAGAGUAUCCUAAGGCCAGCCAGAGAACUGUUGUUAAGGAACUCGGCAAAAUGACCCCGUAACUUAGGGAGAAGGGGUGCCUUCGAAAGAAGGCCGCAGAGAAUAGGCCCAAGCGACUGUUUACCAAAAACAUAGGUUUCUGCUAAGUCGCAAGACGAUGUAUAGGAGCUGACGCCUGCCCGGUGCUGGAAGGUUAAGGGGAUCUGUUAGAGCAAUCGAAGCAGUGAACUUAAGCCCCAGUAAACGGCGGCCGUAACUAUAACGGUCCUAAGGUAGCGAAAUUCCUUGUCGGGUAAGUUCCGACCCGCACGAAAGGCGUAACGAUUUGGGCACUGUCUCAACAACAGACUGGGUGAAAUUGUAAUACCGGUGAAGAUGCCGGUUACCUGCGACAGGACGGAAAGACCCCAUGGAGCUUUACUGUAGCUUGACAUUGAGUCUCGGUGCUACAUGUACAGGAUAGGUGGGAGGCUAUGAAGCAUGGACGUCAGUUUGUGUGGAGCCAUCCUUGGGAUACCACCCUUGUAGUACUGGGAUUCUAACCAGCUGCCUUGAAUCAGGUAGUGGGACACUGUCAGGUGGACAGUUUGACUGGGGCGGUCGCCUCCUAAAGAGUAACGGAGGCGCUCAAAGGUUCUCUCAGUACGGUCGGAAAUCGUACGUAGAGUGUAAAGGCAGAAGAGAGCUUGAUUGCAAGACAUACAGGUCGAGCAAGGACGAAAGUCGGACUUAGUGAUCCGGUGGUUCCGCAUGGAAGGGCCAUCGCUCAACGGAUAAAAGCUACCCUGGGGAUAACAGGCUGAUCUCCCCCAAGAGUCCACAUCGACGGGGAGGUUUGGCACCUCGAUGUCGGCUCAUCACAUCCUGGGGCUGUAGUAGGUCCCAAGGGUUGGGCUGUUCGCCCAUUAAAGUGGUACGCGAGCUGGGUUCAGAACGUCGUGAGACAGUUCGGUCCCUAUCCGUCGCAGGCGUAGGAAAUUUGAGGAGACCUGUCCUUAGUACGAGAGGACCGGGAUGGACGUACCGCUGGUGUACCAGUUGUUCUGCCAAGGGCAUGGCUGGGUAGCUAAGUACGGAAAGGAUAAGCGCUGAAAGCAUCUAAGCGCGAAGCCUACUUCGAGAUAAGAUUUCCCACCGCAAGGUUAAGACCCCAUGAAGACUACAUGGUUGA